UACAGAGGUCUCAAGCGUUGUUCGGAUUCAUUGGGCGUAAAGAGCUCGUAGGCGGCUCAGUAAGUCGGGUGUGAAACCUCCAGGCUCAACCUGGAGACGCCACUCGAUACUGCUGUGGCUUGAGUCCGGUAGGGGAGCACGGAAUUCCUGGUGUAGCGGUGAAAUGCGCAGAUAUCAGGAGGAACACCAGUGGCGAAGGCGGUGCUCUGGGCCGGAACUGACGCUGAGGAGCGAAAGCGUGGGGAGCAAACAGG
rnacentral:rRNA from 1 species